AAUUUUUUUGUAUUUUUAGUGGAGACGGGGUUUCACCAUGUUGCCCAGGGUGGUCUUGAACUCCUGGCCUCAAGUGAUCCACCUGCCUCAGCCUCCCAAAGUGCUAGGAUUACAGGCAAGAGCCACCAUGGCUAGCUUCAUUCUCUCUUAAACGCCACUGCAUUCGAGCUUUUGCUUCCAUCCCUCUAUUGAAUCUGACUCAAAGUCACCAACAAUAUCUACAUUGCUGAAUCCAAUGACUAUUUCUCAAUCCUCGAGGUUCUGCUUCCAGUAAUGCCUGGGUACCUCCUAUUAUACCAAUCAUUCCAUAAAUUACAUAAACCACAGAGGAAAUAUAAAAAACAAUGAUCUUAGUUCAGCCAAGUUAACUGCCUGCGAAAACAAAAAAGUCAACAUUCUUUAUAGAAACAUAACAUAAUCCAGACUCUUCAUAUCAAUAACAUGUACGAUAAAAUCCUCAAUUAGUAGAUAUACAAUGAAACAGGGAACUGUGACCCAUACAGAAGAGAAAAGGCAAUGAAUGGCCCCAUCCCUAGGAUAAUCCAGAUGAUGAGAAUUAAAUUUUAAGGCAGCUAUUAUAACUGAGGGAAAAUAUGCUUGUACUCACUAAGAAGGUAGUAAAUCACAGCAGAGAAACAUAAUCUCUAAAAAAGAACCAAGUGUAAAUUUGAAACUGAAAAUUAUCUAAAAAAAUUCACCAAAUGGGCUUAACAGCAGAUUGACCUGAAAAUAUACAUAAAAUAAAUAUAAACUUAUUAUAUAAGACAUGUACCUGGAAACAUAUAUAUGUAUAUAUUUCCAGAUGGUAAGGACAGAAAGAGGCAGAAAAAUGUUUAAAGUAAUAAUAGCCAAAUACUUCCUAAAUUUAAAGACAAAUUUACACAUAAAAGAAACUCAGAGGCUGGGUGUGGUGGCUCACGUGGUGGGCGGAUCACCUGAGGUCAGUAGUUCGAGACCAGACUGCCCAACAUGGCAAAACCCCAUCUCUCCUAAAAAUACAAAAAAUUAGCCAGGCGUGGUGGCGGGCACCUGUAAUCCCAGCUACUCAGGAGGCUGAGGCAGGAGAAUCACUUGAAUCCAGGAGGCAGAGGUUGCAGUGAGCCAAGAUCGCACCACUGCAUGCUGGCCUGGGUGACAAGAGUGAAACUCCAUCUCAAAAAAAAAAAAAAAAAAAGACAUGAUAGGGCCAGGUGCUGUGGCUCAUGCCUGUGAUCCCAGCAUUUUGGGAGGCGGAAGUGGGAGGAUCACUUGAGGUCAGGAGUUCAAAACCAGCCUGGCCAACAUAGUGAAACCCCAUUUCUACUAAAAAUACAAAAAAAAAAUUAGCUGGGUAUGCUAGUGGUUGCCUGUAAUCCCAGCUACUCGGUAAGCUGAGGCACAAGAAUCACUUGAAUCCAGGAAGUGGAGACUGCAAUGAGCCGAGAUCGCACCACUGCACUCCAGCCUGGGCAACAAGAGCAAAAACUCUGUCUCAGAAAAAAAAAAAAAAAAGAAUAAAUCUGUAUGAGCCAGGCACAUUGGGAGGUCAAGGUGGGAAGAUUUCUUGAGCCCAGGAGUUUGAGACCUGCCUGGGCAACAUGUGAGAUCCCCGUCUCUACCAAAAAAAAAAAAAAAGAAAAAAAAUCAGCCUGGUGUGGUGGUGUAUGCCUGUAGCUCCAGCUACUCAGGAGGCUGAGGUGGGAGGUCAAGGCUGCAGUGAGCCAUGAUCGUGCCACUGCACUCCAGCAUGGGCAAGAGAGUGAGACCCUGUCUCAGGAAAAAAUAAAUAAAAAGUUAAAAAAAAGAAAAAACAACUGUAUAUCCAGAAUUCUAUAUCCAGAGAAAACAUCCUUCAAAAAUGAAGGUGAGGCCGGGUGCGGUGGCUCGUGCCUGUAAUCCCAGCACUUUGGGAGGCCGAGCCACUGCACCCGGCACUAUUUUCUAUUUUUCGUUCCUCUGUUUAUCCUCUCUUGUCCUUCUUUUGAAUUAAUUGAAAUUUUGAUUAAAAUUCUAUUUCCAUUUCAAUUUGGUUGCUGCUCUUCUUGCUAUAUGUCAUUGUUGAGUUUCUGUUUUAUUUCAAUGGUUGCUCUAGGGAUUACAAAAUACACCUUAUUAACUUUUCACAGCCUACUUCAUAAAAACUGUCAAAAUAGGCCAGGUGCGGUGGCUCACACCUGUAAUCCUAGCACCCUGGGAGGCCGAGGCAGGCAGAUCACAAGGUCAAGAAAUCGAGACCAUCCUGGCCAACAUGGUGAAACCCUGUCUCUACUAAAAAUACAAAAAUUACCUGGGCAUGGUGGUGGGCACCUAUAAUCCCAACUACUCGGGAGGCUCAGGCAGGAGAAUUACUUGAACCUGGAAGGUGGAGGCUGCAGUGACCUGAGAUCGAGCCACUGUACUCUAGCCUGGCAACAGAGCGAAACUCCAUUUCAAAAAAAAGAAAAACCUGUCAAAAUCUUGAAACCCUCUUGCUUCAUCCUUUAUUCUACAGUUAAAUUUGUUGUAUCUAUGUACUUUACAAAUCCCAGAGUAUACACUAUUAUACUUUUUGUUUUAAAGUUAAAUGUGGCCAGGCGCAGUGGCUCACAUCUGUAAUCCCAGCACUUUGGGAGGCCGAAGUGGGCGGAUUGCCUGAGGUCAGGAGGUCGAGACCAGCCUGGCCAACAUGCUGAAACCCCAUCUCUGCUAAAAAUACAAAAAUUAGCUGGGAGUGGUGUGGGUGCAUGUAAUCCCAGCUACUCGGGAGGCUGAGGCAGGAGAAUUGCUUGAACUCGGAGGGUGCAGUGAGGCGAGAGGUGCCAUUGCACUCCAGCCUGGACAACAGUGAAACUCCACCUCAAAAGUAAAUAAAUAAAUAAAAAUAAAAUUAACACCGGGCAUGGUGGCUCAUGCCUGUAAUCCCAGCACUUUGGGAAGCUGAAGUGGGCGGAUCAUGACAUCAAGAGAUUAAGACCAUCCUGGCCAACAUGGUGAAACCCUGUCUCCACUAAAAAUACAAAAAUUAGCUGGGCGUGGUCUCACGCACUUGCAGUCCCAGCUACUCAGGAGGCUGAGGCAGGAGAAUCACUUGGACCUAGGAGGCAGAGGUUGCAGUGGGCCGAGAUUCUGCCACUGCACUCCAGCCUAGCGACAGAGUGAGACUCCAUCUCAAAAAUAAAAAUAAAUAAAUAAAUACAUGCAUAAAUAAAUAAAGUUAAAUGUAUUUGGCCAGUUGUGAUGGCUCACACCUGUAAUCCCGGCACUUUGGGAGGCCAAGGUGGACAGGUUACUGGAGGCCAGGAGUCCAAGACCAGCCUGGCCAAUGUGGCAAAACUCUGUCUCUACUAAAAAUACAAAAAGUAGCCGGGCAUGGCGGUGCACACCUGUGGUCCCAGGUACUCGGGAGACUGAGGCAUGAGAAUCACUUGAACCUAGGAGGUGGAGGUUGCAGUGAGCCAAGAUCAUGCCACUGCACUCCAGCCUGGGCGACACAGCAAGGCUCUGUCUCAAACACAGAAAAACUAACCCCUGCAAUGGCUCCCUAUGUCACUCAGAGUAAAAGCUAAAGCCUACCAAUGGUCCCAAGAGGUCUCACAGUUCCCCUCUGACCACACCUUGUACAACUCUCUUCCUCAUUGAUCCCAGCUGCAGUAGUCUCUGCUGUCCUUUAACUCAUCAAACAUAUUGUCACCUGCGGGCCUUUGCCAGGGUCUAUGUAGCUAAUUUCCUCACCUUCUCCCAAGUGUGAUGCCACCUUCUUAAUAGGGCCUACCUCCCUCCAAACCUGGCACUCCUGAUUAGUUUAUCCUGUGUUGACUAUCUUUUUUUUUUUUUUUGGCAUUUACGACCUUUUUUUUUUUUAACAUACUAUUUAUUAUGACUUUUUCACAUCUAUCUCCCUAUUAGGAUACACGUUCCACAAGGGCAAGGAUUUUGUCUCUUUUGUCCACUGCUAUAUUCCCAUAACUGACUGACUGAAUGCUAAGCACCACAGAGGAGGAGCAGAUAAAAACUCUUGUAGUAGCAGGAGGCACCAGAGGAACAGAGAGGCCAGCCCAUUGUUGGGCCUCUGCCUACAUCCCUCCAGUACACCCUGUACUUCUCUAUCCCUGUUCAUUACUUUCUAGCCACGCAGGCCUUCUUGAUUCUUGCUAUGGUGAGACUGUCCCAUCACAAGGCUUUGCUCUAGCUGUCUCCUCGGCCUAGAACACUCUCUGUUCUUUGCCUGGUUGGAUCCCUCUUGUCAUUCAAGUCUCUGCUUAAAUGUCAUGUCUUCAGAGCAGCAUUCCCUACCACACAAUCUGAUAUACCUACUUAGUCACUUUCUUUUUUUUUUUUGAGAUGGGGUCUUGCUCUGUCACUCAGACUGGAGCGCAGUGGUUCCAUCAUGGCUCACUGCAGCCUCAACCUCCCAUGCUUAAGUCAUCCUCC
rnacentral:lncRNA from 10 species